UGGGGAAUUUUGGACAAUGGGCGCAAGCCUGAUCCAGCAAUGCCGCGUGAGUGAAGAAGGCCUUCGGGUUGUAAAGCUCUUUUGUCAGGGAAGAAACGGUCUAGGCUAAUACCUUGGGCUAAUGACGGUACCUGAAGAAUAAGCACCGGCUAACUACGUGCCAGCAGCCGCGGUAAUACGUAGGGUGCAAGCGUUAAUCGGAAUUACUGGGCGUAAAGCGUGCGCAGGCGGUUUUGUAAGUCUGACGUGAAAGCCCCGGGCUCAACCUGGGAAUUGCGUUGGAGACUGCAAGGCUUGAAUCUGGCAGAGGGGGGUAGAAUUCCACGUGUAGCAGUGAAAUGCGUAGAGAUGUGGAGGAACACCGAUGGCGAAGGCAGCCCCCUGGGUCAAGAUUGACGCUCAUGCACGAAAGCGUGGGGAGCAAACAGGAUUAGAUACCCUGGUAGUCCACGCCCUAAACGAUGUCUACUAGUUGUCGGGUUUUAAUUAACUUGGUAACGCAGCUAACGCGUGAAGUAGACCGCCUGGGGAGUACGGUCGCAAGAUUAAAACUCAAAUGAAUUGACGGGGUCAUAGCUGUUUCCU
rnacentral:rRNA from 1 species